CUGCGGUCCGGCGGGGCAGGCGGGGCGGCCGGGGCCUCUGCCGCUGCCUGCCCGGCCCUCCUCUCCACGCGGCCGCGCGGUCACUCCAGCGGGUGCCCCGGCAGAUGGGCCCGGGUGUCGCCCCGGGCCCUGGGGGUGUCGCGGUGCUGACCGCGGCGGUGCAGCCGGGGAACCGGGCCCCCCUCCCCGGAGGUCAGGCAGCAGCUGGUGGCUGGCGGUUUCCUCGGAGCCGGAUACGGGCCCGGGUUCGGGUUAGUCUCCCGUGACGGCAGGGCUCGAGCAGGCGCCGAGCGUCGCUCCUGGUGUCUGCUGGAUCAUCCCGAGAGUCCCGGGUGGCGCCUGGGACAGGCCUUUCAGAGGGAAAGCGCUGUGACAGAGGGGCCGGCGGCGCAGGACGCACUGCCCUGCCCCGCACCGCGCACCCAGAAGCCGCUCCCCCUGGGAUGGGAGAACGGCCUCAAGGGCACGGCUGUGGCUCCAGCCGGGAACAGCGUCUUGCCGCGCUGGGUGCGGUGCUGUGGGCCGCACGGGCUCCUGUGAACCUCGUACCACACUGGUGCGGUGUCUCCAGCAGAGCCGUGGCUUCCGCGGCAGGGAAGGAUGCUCUGCCAGGGCGUACGAAAGUCCCCUCGACCCUAAGAACUCUCCUCUGGGCUCCUCAUACGGGCCACAGACAAAUGCCCCUUCUCGUUAGGGGAAAAUCGGGGCAGGGAGGGAUACUUCUGGACUCAGGGCGCUCCCUGGGCAUCUUUUCUGUGCCUGGUGAUUCCAGCAAAUGGGUAAAGCAGCACCCCUGGCCUGGCAGACAUGGCAACAGUUCAGACCCCACAAGGACAAAGGUCUGAUCUCAUCGUCAAGCAUGCAGCCUAGGCCGGCUGGUGGAGGGCAGUGCAUUUUAAAACAGAACUCCUGGGUUACUUUCUCUGAACUUGAAGCCAGUCGUUGACCCUGCGCUGUCUGCCUGACUUUUGCCCCUCCAUCCUGAAUCACAUGCACCCCUCCGAGCUGCCCGCAGCCCUGUGAGCUGAUUGCAUUGCUUCUCUCCCCCUGGCCCGGUGCUGAGUGGAACGCCAACAACAGGAGAGCGACCAGCCAUGGUGUGACAAGACACAAUAUGGAUUAAUAGAAAAAAGAUGCUAGAGGCAGUUGAAUUCUAGAAAGCACUUUCAGAAGUUUAUUUUCUGCACGAAACUGAUCGUCCAACCAGUGAUGCAGACGCUGUCUCCACACGAGCACUUGGCAGCCGUCCGAGCUCACUCCUCAGGUCAGCGAGCCUUGGCGCCGUGCCUCACAGUCUGGGUGCUGCGCUCCUCUCCUGCACACCCUUUCUUGGUUUCUGCGAAUUAAGCUUAUCUGCCAUUAAAGACAUUAUAAUUGUC
ensembl:lncRNA